AUGGGGCAGAUCCAGAGCUGGGAAUGCCAAUGGCUCCAUCCCUCUGGAGCUGGGAUACAUCCCACAACAACAGCUUUAUCCAAGGGCUCCAUCCCUCUGGAGCUGGGGCUCAUCCCCCUAGAACAGCUUUAUCCCAGGGUCUCCAUCCUUCUGGAGCUGGGAUACAUCCCGCACCAAUGGCUUUAUCCAAAGGGAUCCAUCCUUCUGGAGCUGGGAUUCAUCCCACACCAACAGCUUUAUCCCAGAGGAUCCAUCCCUCUGGCGCUGGGAUACAUCCCACAACAACAGCUUUAUCCAAGGGCUCCAUCCCUCUGGAGCUGGGAUACAUCCCACACUGAUGGCUUUAUCCCAGAGAUCCAUCCUUCUGAUCUGGGGGUCAGUGCUGAGCCCCUCUGGGCACCAGCAGUGGGGGCAAGGCCGUGGGUCAAUGCCUGGCCAGAGCCAGGAGGGAAAACCCCAGCCAUUAAUUAAUGAUAUUAAUGACCAAUCACCCACUCAGCCCUGCCAUUGAUAAAUCCACGAGUUCAGCGGUGCUGGAGCUGAUCCCACAGCUCCUGCCAGGCCUCAUCCAUGAUUCCCAUCAGGUCUCAUCCCAGCUGAGCCCCCACCCUGCCCCACUCCCCAUCCCUCUCUCCUGAAACAGAAACAUUUUUCCAGGCGCUGCCUCCAUCCAUUAUCACAAAGUGGCUUCACUUGGCCUGCAGUUAAUAAUUCACCUUUCCCUGGAAGAUGGAUGCUCCAUCCUGCUGGAGUUUUAAAUAUUCAUGGCCAAGGGAAGGCAGCAGGGCCGUGUGGGAGCUCUGCCAUCCACCCCUGGUGCUCCCAUCCAGGGAUUCCCAUCCCAUCACCUGCAGAUGUGCAGAUGUGGAAGGUCUGGAGAAGGGGAUGUGCAGGGAAACCUUGGCUGGAUGGGAUUUUGGGUGUCCUCAGGGAUGGGUGGGGCUGUACCCAAGGGACCCCUCGCCCCUGGCUGGGCAGGCUGGUGGCACUCAGAGCCCUCUGCCCAUCCAGGUGUCUCCAGGAUGUUGGGAGUGUCUGGGUCCUGCAGGGAGCUGAGGCAGGGCUGGAUGUUCACCCCAGGGUUCCUCAUCCCUUCCUGCUGCUCCUACGGGUGGGGAAAAAUCUUGGAAUAUACCGAGAUUAAAGGAACUCGCAAAGAUCAUCCAGUCCAACCCCUGGUCCUGCACAGACACCCCAAAAUCCCAUCCCUGG
rnacentral:lncRNA from 1 species